GAUGAACGCUGGCGGCGUGCCUAAUACAUGCAAGUCGAGCGAACAGACGAGGAGCUUGCUCCUCUGACGUUAGCGGCGGACGGGUGAGUAACACGUGGAUAACCUACCUAUAAGACUGGGAUAACUUCGGGAAACCGGAGCUAAUACCGGAUAAUAUAUUGAACCGCAUGGUUCAAUAGUGAAAGACGGUUUUGCUUUCACUUAUAGAUGGAUCCGCGCCGCAUUAGCUAGUUGGUCAGGUAACGGCUUACCAAGGCAACGAUGCGUAGCCGACCUGAGAGGGUGAUCGGCCACACUGGAACUGAGACACGGCCCAGACUCCUACGGGAGGCAGCAGUAGGGAAUCUUCCGCAAGGGGCGAAAGCCUGACGGAGCAACGCCGCGUGAGUGAUGAAGGUCUUCGGAUCGUAAAACUCUGUUAUUAGGGAAGAACAAAUGUGUAAGUAACUAUGCACGUCUUGACGGUACCUAAUCAGAAAGCCACGGCUAACUACGUG
rnacentral:rRNA from 1 species